rnacentral:misc_RNA from 1 species
UUUACUGGUUUGCCUCCCAUGG